rnacentral:rRNA from 1 species
UACGGAGGGUGCAAGCGUUAUCCGGAUUUACUGGGUUUAAAGGGUGUGUAGGCGGACUAUUAAGUCAGGGGUGAAAUCCCAAGGCUCAACCUUGGAACUGCCUUUGAUACUGGGGAUCUCGAGUCCGGAAGAGGUUGGUGGAACUGCGAGUGUAGAGGUGAAAUUCGUAGAUAUUCGCAAGAACACCAGUGGCGAAGGCGGCCAACUGGUCCGGUACUGACGCUGAGGUGCGAAAGCGUGGGGAGCAAACAGG